CAGUAGCGUAUAUUAAAGUUGUUGCAGUUAAAAUGCUCGUAGUUGAAGUUCGGAUGCAGCAGAGCUUGGAAACGCUGUUAUGGUGCUUCCGUUGCUUUUGCUUGUCCACAGUGCGUUGCAAGUACGUAUGUGCUUGUGCGUGCAUUUUACUUUGAGAAACAUAGGGUGUUCCACGCAUGUUACGGCAUGAAUAUUCCAGCAUGGGAUAAUCUGGUACGACUUCCAAUCUGCCAUUUUGGUUCGUAGGUUGGAAGUAAUGAUUAAUAGGGACUGUCGGGGGCAUCGGUAUUUGACUGUCAGAGGUGAAAUUCUUAGAUUCGUUGAGGACCAACCACUGCGAAAGCAUUUGUCAAGGAUGUCUCCAUUAA
rnacentral:rRNA from 1 species